UACGGAGGGUGCAAGCGUUAUCCGGAUUUAUUGGGUUUAAAGGGUGCGUAGGCGGGCUAUUAAGUCAGUGGUGAAAGCCCCAGCUUAACUUGGGAACUGCCAUUGAUACUGAUGGUCUUGAGUACAUUUGAGGUGGGCGGAAUGUGUCAUGUAGCGGUGAAAUGCUUAGAUAUGACACAGAACACCGAUUGCGAAGGCAGCUCACUAAACUGUAAACUGACGCUGAGGCACGAAAGCGUGGGGAGCAAACAGG
rnacentral:rRNA from 1 species